UUGACCUCGGAUCAGGUAGGGAUACCCGCUGAACUUAAGCAUAUCAAUAAGCGGAGGAAAAGAAACCAACAGGGAUUGCCUCAGUAACGGCGAGUGAAGCGGCAACAGCUCAAAUUUGAAAUCUGACCCCUCCGGGGCCCGAGUUGUAAUUUGUAGAGGGUGUUUCGGGCGCGGCGCCGGUCUAAGUUCCUUGGAACAGGACGUCAUAGAGGGUGAGAAUCCCGUAUGUGACCGGCGAUCAAGCCCAUGUGAAGCCCCUUCGACGAGUCGAGUUGUUUGGGAAUGCAGCUCAAAAUGGGUGGUAAAUUUCAUCUAAAGCU
rnacentral:rRNA from 1 species